rnacentral:lncRNA from 1 species
CUUUUCGUCAUCAUACAUUUUAGUUCUCAACUUUAAUUCACUAUAAUUUUUUUUAACCCAAAUUAUUGAUGAAUUACUAACAUAGAAGCACUAUAGCAAUAUCAUAAUUGAUGAUGCAACAAUUAUAUAAUUAAUAUCUUACAUCAUUUCUAUAUUAGUAAUUCAUCAAUAUUUAGUCAAAAAUUAAGUUGUGUGACCUAAUUAAUUAUAAUAAUUCAGAAAGUUCGUACGAGAAAUUACAAAAUAUUAAAAUUCGAGUACUAAAAUGUCACGUGUCCCAUGGUUUGAGGA